UACAGAGACUGCGAGCGUUAUUCGGAUUCACUGGGCGUAAAGGGUGCGUAGGCGGUGUGUCAAGUCAGGCGUGAAAGCCCCGGGCUCAACCUGGGAACCGCGCUUGAGACUGGCACGCUAGAGGUCGGGAGAGGAUGGUGGAAUUCCCAGUGUAGAGGUGAAAUUCGUAGAUAUUGGGAAGAACACCGAUGGCGAAGGCAGCCAUCUGGACCGACACUGACGCUGAGGCGCGAAAGCGUGGGGAGCAAACAGG
rnacentral:rRNA from 1 species